UACGUAGGGUGCGAGCGUUAAUCGGAAUUACUGGGCGUAAAGCGUGCGCAGGCGGUUUUGUAAGUCUGUGGUGAAAUCCCCGGGCUCAACCUGGGAACUGCCUUUGUGACUGCAAGGCUUGAGUGCGGCAGAGGGGGAUGGAAUUCCGCGUGUAGCAGUGAAAUGCGUAGAUAUGCGGAGGAACACCGAUGGCGAAGGCAAGCCCCUGGGCCUGCACUGACGCUCAUGCACGAAAGCGUGGGGAGCAAACAGG
rnacentral:rRNA from 1 species